UCAAGUACCAGAAUCUCAGAUGCGAGUUACAAAAGUUAUGCAGAACUAACAAAUUACAAAUUACACUCUAAGCGCCUCUACAAGAGAAGAUGUCCUGCAAAGGACUGAGACUCCAUACCCAAAUAAGUUAACUAGAAUGACUGAUACAUCAACAUUAAACUCUACAGCUGCACCAGAAAGCAAAACUACUUUAUUCACAACCCAUCAUACUGAAGCAGCCACAAGAAAAGCUCUUUCAGCCUCAGAAAGUUUUGACAGAGUUCACUGUUCACUGAAAAUAAAAGGACGUUGUGUGCAGAACUCAGUAAAUCAGGUGCUUCCAUCAACUAACAUUAGUAAGUCAGAAGAUCACAACUUGCGUUUGUUGCAAAAGGGAACAGCUGCAUGUAGCACAUCUAUUUUAUCCACCUUACCUUCAAAAAAAGAGUUUUCCCUAAAUAACUCAUCACAUCCUAAUACAUUUAAAGUACCAACAAAGUGUAUUUUUUUUUUUACCUAGCUACUGCUAAACCAAAACACAUAGAGGGAAGUGCAAAUAGCCACACAGGUUAUGCAAUCUCUAUUUCAGAAAACCAAGAAAUAGGAAAUUCAGAGCAAACAGGAAAUACUAAAGAUAAGGCAAAGAUAAAAAUAAAUGCUAGUGGUAGGAUAUCUAAAAACAAUGAAAUGAAACCCGGGCUCACUACAGAAAACAAUGAAGCUGAAGAGCUGGUUACACCAAGCUGGCAACAAGUUCCAACAACAACCAGUUUUAACAGUCGCGACUCAAAUGAUCAGAUACUGUAUAAAGAUGGUAAACAGGCAUCUUUCAUGAGUAAGCAGAACACUGAAAAUACUCUUGCGGCCGACAAAAGGGUAGAUUCAAGCACAUCCACUCCUGGUGACAGAAGGCCAACAUUAAAAGCAGCCCAGGGAGCUUCACAUAAUGAAACUUUUUGUAGCGCUCAUCAUGGAUUGUAUGCACACACCCAAGAGCCCCCAUGCCUGUUUCUGAUCACUUUCGAGAGGUGGCUGAAGACAGGGAAACCUUGCAAAGCAGCUCCACAGUUGUUGGUGACUAUUCAAGCAAUAUGGCUACCAGCACCAGUUUAAAAACAUUUGAUAACAAUCUUUUCAAGUUCAUUAAAGGUAUUGGAAUCACUUUGAGCAUAACUAAACCAUUUACAGCUAUUGCACACAAUGAAAGUACUACCAGCCGUGCACAGAAUUCCCCAAGGCCUGUAUCGGAUCACACAGAAACUGGUAGUGUGUCACCUUCGCCAGUGUUUAACAACAGAGGGAUCACUUCUAAAGAUGGUGAGGCACUAUAUAAAAUACACAAGGACCAUAUGAGUUUGUCAAAAGAUAAUAAAAGUGCAAUCACAACAAUACAGAACAUAUCCAACUGUCAACACACUGGGAUAGAACCCCAAUCACAACAAUACAGGACAUAUCCAAAUUUCAACACACUGGGAUAGAACCCCAAUCACAACAAUACAGGACAUAUCCAAAUUUCAACACACUGGGAUAGAACCCCAAUCACAACAAUACAGAAAAUAUCCAACUGUCAACACACUGGGAUAGAACCCCAAUCACAACAAUACAGAACAUAUCCAACUGUCAACACACUGGGAUAGAACCCCAAUCACAACAAUACAGAACAUAUCCAACUAUCAACACACUGGGAUAGAACCCCAAUCACAACAAUACAGAACAUAUCCAACUGUCAACACACUGGGAUAGAACCCCAUUCACAACAAUACAGAACAUAUCCAACUGUCAACACACUGGGAUAGAACCCCAAUCACAACAAUACAGGACAUAUCCAAAUUUCAACACACUGGGAUAGAACCCCAAUCACAACAAUACAGAAAAUAUCCAACUGUCAACACACUGGGAUAGAACCCCAAUCACAACAAUACAGGACAUAUCCAAAUUUCAACACACUGGGAUAGAACCCCAGUCACAACUGUACCUGUGAUAACAGAAGGCAGCUUUCUACUUUCAGAAGAGUCAGCAACUAAACGAAGUCACAAAGGGAACAACGAAUUCCAGGCUGGUAAUGAUGAACUGAACUAUGGAGGAGAAUCCACCAUGAAGCCUACCUGGACAACUCUUGAUCAAAGAGACUUUACAGCUGAAUUAGAGGAGAAAACCAUCACAGAAUCUAACAGUGAGUCACUGCUAGCUACACCAUCUUCUCCCACUGGUGCUUUUUCUGAGCCUUGCUCUUUUCAACCAGAAACUGUGACAGCUUCUCCUAUGACUGAUGGAAGCACAAUUACUCAUGUUCCCACAUCAGUGCCAGUCCUUACAGGUCAGAUCAGCCUGAGAGGAGGGAGGAAUCGAUUUGAAGGGCUGGUAGAAGUGGAGUACGGGGGGCACCAGGGAGGAAUUUGUGCCAAACGAUGGGACAACAGGAAUGCAGCAGUAGUUUGUCGACAGUUGGGAUUCUCUGGAAUGGCUUGGGCUACCAGCAGGAUUAAACUGCGGGAAGGGGAUUUACCGGUGAGCAUCUUAUAUGUGAAGUGCAGUGGAGAUGAAACCUCUCUGGAUGGCUGUGAGGUCAAGAGGGGAGUAGAAUGUGGGACAACUGAGAGAGCUGGAGUCCACUGUCAAGGAGACUGUGACCCUGCUACAUGCAACUGUGAUGCAAAUGAUGAAGUGUGGAGGUCUGAUGGCGUUUCACAGGACAGACAAGCUACGCUGUAGAGGACAAAAGAACAGAGUAUCAGUGCUUGAAUCUUGUGCAGCACUCAAAGAGGAAGGCUUUGCUGAAUCAGGACGCUAUGCCAUUGAUCCUGACAGAGUCAGACAAGGAGUCUUCCAGUUUGAGGUUUAUUGUGACAUGACCUCAAACCCCACGACCAGUAAAAAGUUUCAGAAAAUGGGUUCAGGAAAGCUGCCUAGGGGGAGUUAGCCUAGCAGAAAGAUAAUUUAACCAUGUUUAGGUUUUUGCAAAAGACUCACAAUUUGUAUAACCCCAUCAUACAUAUUUUUUUACACUGCUCACUGCUAUAUUUCCAGCAUCCCUUGGUUUUGUUUAACAGUAUGUUUGGAUAAAUGGGUAAUUGUAUGUAAACAUAAUGUGAUAUAAUUGUGACAAUUGUAGUCGCCCUAAAAAAUAAAUAAUAAUAAUAAUAACAGUAUGUAUUUGAGCCUCAUUUGUCUGUUUCCUCUGAUGCAGGUAUCACAGUGGUGAGUCAUGACACUGAAAGCCGCAUGCAUGUCGCCCCUUGUGAAGAACAGGUCUGUUACGGCAGAGAGCUGAAAUAUGAAGCACAUCUGAUUCAAAUAAAUGCGCUUACUAGAGUUUCUAAAUCCCGCCAACAGUAUGUCAAGGUGAGUUCUUUAAAUCCAUUAAACUCUAUCAUACCGUCAUGAGGUAGUGUGAGUGGCACUCGCGGGGGAUGGGUGCUGAGCUGCCCACUUCUCCUACUUUCUCAAUGCAGAUUACUGUGUGUGUGUGUGCAUGCCUGGAUAGAGUUACAUUCUGGCUCCACCUGGCGGCCAACUCCCCUUCCAGCCAAGUUCUAUAUCUGUUGAAUUUUACUACAAAAGUGGUUUGUGAGUUGGCACCAAUCUGUUCAGAACGAUCUAUUCCAUAAAGACUGCUCUGUUUCACCGUACUGUUCCUAUAACCCAGGUCCUAUAUUUUAGACCCCCACGUGCACGAAUAUCAGAUCAGUGGCAAACGUGGUUCUUUCAGUCCACUCCAGUCCAGGACCAGGGUCAUCAUUAUUUAAUUGCACACCUACGUUCUAUCAACACCCAAGUUCUAUUGACUGUUCAAUCCAACACUUAUGGACAUGGUUGGAAAAAGGUUCCUGGACUGGUAUGUAUUAAGUAAAUAACCACUGGGUAAGUAAGAGGUUCUACAGUAAAAGCAUUUUAAGUGGAUGCAGUGGUAAACCAUUUUAACCUAGUGUGACCAUAUGGUCACAUGUAGCACUCUCUCAUAUGACAGCCAUUAUGUCGGCGAGUAUUGCGAAUAAUUGUCCAAUUUUGUAUUCAGCACUUAGUAUUGACAUCAUUAUUUGAGAUUCCAUUGUUUGAGUCUGGUGGCCCAACCACAUAGGUCAUGCACAGCAGCAAACGUCCUCAGUUGCUGCUUGGUCGCCAAAAAUGGCAGUACGAUUUUGUUAAGUCUGAAAAAUUGUUGUCAUUAUAUGGAGAAUGUAUUCGUGUAACGUUUUUAUUUGCUUCACCUCUUGCACACAGAUGAGCAUAAAGGAAGACACUUUGUAACUCACAGUAAAACAACAAAACAGCAAUCAAACUAUCAAUACCAGUAGUAGUCUAGGAGGUUAACAGUGCAGGUGACCCUUGAUAUACUUGAGGCUGAAGGGGAGGAUGCACAAGAACUCUAUAUAGAACCACCUGACCUGUUUAGGAAGAGAUUUCUUUCUCACUUCAAGAAUGUGCAACACCUCGACUUUGACAAAUCAUUAUUAGUUGGGCGACCAGCUACAUCGCGUGGGAGCACUACCCACUCACGGGUGUCCGUCGAGAUUCGAUUUGACAGACAGGACCACCUCGUCAUUCCCACUGAAGAACGCAGCAAGUGCUGAGUUGGACGGUGCCUUGACAGGUUCUUUCCAUUCCAUACUCAAUAGAGAGAUAUGGAAAAUUAUUUUGAUUACAUAUUUGCCUAGUGGGACCAGGCUAUAUUAAGAACUUAUUUUUUCAAACUCAUGUUUAGAUAAAUGUUUUUGAUUGUUUCAAAGUACAACAUAAAGGAUUUUUUUUUUUUAAAUGCAGUCGGGUUAAUUAGGGUAUCGAUCGCUCAUCAAAUUAAUUGAAAUGUUGACAAACAGAAACAGAGUAGCUCAAGAGAUGUUUUAUUUUUUUUAUUUUUUCUCUCACAGCUUGACUGUCGACACAUUUGUUUCAUUCAGUCCGGUUGGGGGUGGUGGGUCUCCUGGAAUGGACAAAAGAUGUUUCACUGGGGAGGGGCUGAGAUCAACAGCAGUAGCUGUGCCUGUGGAAUGACAGGCACAUGCUCUGGUCCAGCGAGGCUCUGUAACUGUGACAGCAACGAUCACAUUUGGAGAACAGAUGAAGGCUAUCUGUGGGUUAAAUCAUUGUUGCCAGUGACGUCUGUGUACUUUGGUGACACACAAGAUGCUUCUUUAGAAAUGGCCUUUCACACCAUUGGAAAAGACCUGCAAAGGAAAAGGUAAGAUUGUGAGGAGCUUGGAGUUACGAGCCUACUGUCAGAUACCCUAAGCUCUGUAACUGGAAACCACUUUGAAAGAACCUAAAGCAUCAUUUAGAUGGGUUCUACUGUGAAUAUGCCUUUUAAUAUAUGCAGAGGUUUAUCUCUUCAAUCCAAAAUCCUCUCUCUGACCAAGUUUAUUUGAGGACUUCUGACUUCAACACUUUGCCCCCAGCAAAAAACUGAAUAACAUUGCCUUUAUAUUUCAAAAUGAUUGUAGCUAACACAAUAAUUCCAUACAUCUUACCUGAUGUGCACUUCUGUUUGAUAUAUAGGUCUGAAAGAAACAUGCUGCAGUAAAUACAUGUAUUUCUGUUUUAAAAACAUGUUGGGCCCUAUGUGUCAUAGAAUCAUAAUGUUUGCUAUGAUUUUGUUCAUUUCAAAUAGUUUUUCAUAUUUUCUUUCUUUCAGAGCUUUUUUUUUUUUGUAUGGAUACGGCAAUACCUUUCGUACAACUCGAAAUUGUUUAUAUACAUUGCAAUAACAAAAGCUCAAUAGAUCUGACCCGCAUGCUCGUUAUAAACAGAAUAAAACUAUAAAUGGCACUAUCAAAAGCUACACACAGCACAGGUAGAUUACCAUGUCACACCUGAUUGUGAAUAUCACUAUCUCUACCACCUCUGCCAUGUUGAAAUUUAUUUGAAAAAUUAAAGUGAUGCUGAAGAGAGAACAAUGGAUGCAAGAUAGAAGAUU